rnacentral:rRNA from 1 species
GAUGAACGCUGGCGGCGUGCCUAAUACAUGCAAGUCGAGCGAACGGACGAGAAGCUUGCUUCUCUGAUGUUAGCGGCGGACGGGUGAGUAACACGUGGAUAACCUACCUAUAAGACUGGGAUAACUUCGGGAAACCGGAGCUAAUACCGGAUAAUAUUUUGAACCGCAUGGUUCAAAAGUGAAAGACGGUCUUGCUGUCACUUAUAGAUGGAUCCGCGCUGCAUUAGCUAGUUGGUAAGGUAACGGCUUACCAAGGCAACGAUGCAUAGCCGACCUGAGAGGGUGAUCGGCCACACUGGAACUGAGACACGGUCCAGACUCCUACGGGAGGCAGCAGUAGGGAAUCUUCCGCAAUGGGCGAAAGCCUGACGGAGCAACGCCGCGUGAGUGAUGAAGGUCUUCGGAUCGUAAAACUCUGUUAUUAGGGAAGAACAUAUGUGUAAGUAACUGUGCACAUCUUGACGGUACCUAAUCAGAAAGCCACGGCUAACUACGUGCCAGCAGCCGCGGUAAUACGUAGGUGGCAAGCGUUAUCCGGAAUUAUUGGGCGUAAAGCGCGCGUAGGCGGUUUUUUAAGUCUGAUGUGAAAGCCCACGGCUCAACCGUGGAGGGUCAUUGGGAACUGGAAAACUUGAGUGCAGAAGAGGAAAGUGGAAUUCCAUGUGUAGCGGUGAAAUGCGCAGAGAUAUGGAGGAACACCAGUGGCGAAGGCGACUUUCUGGUCUGUAACUGACGCUGACGUGCGAAAGCGUGGGGAUCAAACAGGAUUAGAUACCCUGGUAGUCCACGCCGUAAACGAUGAGUGCUAAGUGUUAGGGGGUUUCCGCCCCUUAGUGCUGCAGCUAACGCAUUAAGCACUCCGCCUGGGGAGUACGACCGCAAGGUUGAAACUCAAAGGAAUUGACGGGGACCCGCACAAGCGGUGGAGCAUGUGGUUUAAUUCGAAGCAACGCGAAGAACCUUACCAAAUCUUGACAUCCUUUGACAACUCUAGAGAUAGAGCCUUCCCCUUCGGGGGACAAAGUGACAGGUGGUGCAUGGUUGUCGUCAGCUCGUGUCGUGAGAUGUUGGGUUAAGUCCCGCAACGAGCGCAACCCUUAAGCUUAGUUGCCAUCAUUAAGUUGGGCACUCUAAGUUGACUGCCGGUGACAAACCGGAGGAAGGUGGGGAUGACGUCAAAUCAUCAUGCCCCUUAUGAUUUGGGCUACACACGUGCUACAAUGGACAAUACAAAGGGCAGCGAAACCGCGAGGUCAAGCAAAUCCCAUAAAGUUGUUCUCAGUUCGGAUUGUAGUCUGCAACUCGACUACAUGAAGCUGGAAUCGCUAGUAAUCGUAGAUCAGCAUGCUACGGUGAAUACGUUCCCGGGUCU